AUUUAGUUUUUGUGCGUGUGUGUGUGUGUUUGAAGCACACCCGAACGUUGGAUAACUGAUGAGUUUCAUCAACUUUCAUUGAAGUCGAGCAUCAUCUGCAUCGAACAGUACACUGAACAGCACAGGGGCAAAGUACAAUUCUCCGUGUGACGCCAUGACUUCAUCAUAGUCUUCAUAACUGAUAUUUGGAAAGUAGGAUUCAAACCAUUUUAAGGCAGUUGCUCAUAUAAUACCAAUGAUAUGAUCUAAUCUCUUUAUAAGGCUGUGAAGUAAGAUCUGACAAGCCAAGUACGGAGACAAGGCCUUUGUCUGAAGCAACAAGGAGGUCAUUAGCCAACCGCUUUCUUGAGAACCUUGGACAGGAAAGAAGGAUUGGUAGUGUUAUGGAGGGGACCCGUCGUCCAGCUUUGCAGUCUCAUUAAGAUAAGCCGCUUCCACUCAGCUGACGAACGUCAACAAAUGGCUGAUGAGCAGACAUCAUGCGGGGUCAUGGAGCUGCCAGGCUGCCUCCACAUGGGGCGGCUUCUUCACACACGGUUACACCAAGCAGCUCAUGGGAGGGGAGUGAAUGAUACGACUGGGAAGUCAGAAGGUUAAACAGAGGUGGAGGAAAGAGAUAACAGAAAGAAGAACACAAGUCCAUUGUUCACCUAGCCAAAUAUGUAUAUUUACAAAUUAAAGCUUCAAGUGGUGAUGAAGAAUCAUGUCCGCUAAAGGAUAAUAAUUUCCUACGGACUGAUGGCACCGUGGUCGAUUUCGCUGCUUUUAAUGGUGUAGAGCGUGAUGGCACUGGCAACUGUGCACAGAUUGUUGAAAGCGCAUUUAUUUCUUCAGAUGGAUUUUGGCAGGAUGAGAUGGCCCCAUACGUCUACAUCCAAGAUGUGCAGUUUUGCAGCGACAACGGCGGCGGCGGCCAUGAUGGCGGCGGCCUCGCCGUCGACUAAUUGGUCUUGUAACCAUCCUGUGUGCGUGUGUGUGUGUGCAGUGUUUUCAAACAUUAUUAAAUUAUUGUUUUGGUCACAGUAAGUUUGUCAAAUUUGGAUAGAAAUCUGAGAAAUAUUAGAUAUCUGCUGAACUGAUUGCACCAUAUAUACUCAGAUUGGAUAUUUUUAUUCCAUCUCCUGAGUGUUUAACUGUGAACAAAUCAGGAAGUGGGAGGAAAACAAUACCCCGUGCGAUUAACAGUGUUUAUCUACAGUGAUUAAAUAUGUGCAUGUCUAUAUGUUCACGUGUGCAUAACCACAGAUGUUGAAACUGGGACCAACAUGGUCUGUCACUGUCUUCCUGAAACUUUAGUAAAUGUUCCAUCUUCCCCAGAUCAAUGUGCACCCUAUGGGAAGGAGGAGGCAAGUGAACGUCAUGAAACUAAAACUUUGUGUAGUGUUCAGUUUGACAUGGAACGCAAAGGUUUGUUUCUCGAUUGUCCACUUGUUGCAGGUAUACACGGUACGGUGGAAGCUUAAAGGGGAUAUAUUAUGUAAAAGUUACUUUUUCAUUGCUUUCCUACAAAUAGCUGUUACUUUGGAGUGCUUGCCCACCCAACAAGUGUAGGCCUAUUUCUGAAUUUGUUUCUGUGGGAGAGCUGUUCUUCACCGAUUAAUGUGUAAUGCAUGUACCAUAUACACCCAUGUAAUGUGCAAAC